UACGUAGGGGGGCUAGCGUUGUCCGGAAUCAUUGGGCGUAAAGCGCGUGUAGGCGGUCCGGUAAGUCCGCUGUGAAAGUCGGGGGCUCAACCCUCGGAUGCCGGUGGAUACUGUCGGGCUUGAGUACGGAAGAGGCGAGUGGAAUUCCUGGUGUAGCGGUGAAAUGCGCAGAUAGUCAGGAGGAACACCAAUUGCGAAGGCAGCUCGCUGGGACGUUACUGGACGCUGAGACGCGAAAGCGUGGGGAGCAAA
rnacentral:rRNA from 1 species